rnacentral:rRNA from 1 species
CUGCUGCCUUCCGUAGGAGUCUGGGCCGUGUCUCAGUCCCAAUGUGGCCGGCCAACCUCUCAGUCCGGCUACUGAUCGUCGCCUUGGUGGGCCGUUACCCCGCCAACUAGCUAAUCAGACGCGAGUCCAUCUCAGAGCGAUAAAUCUUUGGCAGUCAGAGCCAUGCGACCCAACUGCAUUAUGCGGUAUUAGCAGCUGUUUCCAGCUGUUAUUCCCCACUCCAAGGCAGGUUACU